rnacentral:lncRNA from 10 species
UUGAUCUCCUGACCUCAUGAUCUGCCCACCUCGGCCUCCCAAAGUGCUGGGAUUACAGGCGUGAGCCACUGCACCCGGCCACCUAUGUUUCUUAAAUAUAGAAAUGAUACUUGAGGAAGUGCUAACUCCCCAAGAAUAUAUUUAAAACAAAGAUUUCAACCCACGUGCAUAACUUACUAUAUGAACAGACACUACUGCAAGAGCUCUACCUGUAUUCGUUCCUCGAGCCAUCCUGGCAAUCCUUGUCAUAUAAUUUAUAUUUCACAGGUAAGAAAAUGGAGGUGACGCACUUCUGAGCUUAGGGAGGGCUCAGCUCUAACCCUGAGUAAACAUGACCCUGUUUUUUGGCUUUUUUUUUUUUUUUUUUUUUUUUUUUUGAGACGGAGCCUCGCUCUGUCACCCAGGCUGGAGUGCAGUGGCGCGAUCUCGGCUCACUGCAAGCUCUGCCUCCCGGGUUCACACCAUUCUCCGGCCUCAGCCUCCUGAGCAGCUGGGACUACAGGCGCCCGCCACCACGCCCAGCUAAUUUUUUGUAUUUUUAGUAGAGACGGGGUUUCACCGUGUUAGCCAGGAUGGUCUUGAUCUCAUGACCUUGUGAUCCACCCGCUUCAGCCUCCCAAAGUGCUGGAAUUACAGGCGUGAGCCACCAUGCCCAGCCUGUUUUUUUGCUUUCUAAAUGCUAUGAUCUGAAUAUUUAUGUCCCCACAAAAUUCCUAUGUGGAAACCUAAUCGCAAAUGAGUUGAGGCCUUUGGGAGGUCAUUAGGGCAUGAGGAUGGAACCCUCACAAACAGGACUAGUGACCUUCUGAAAGAGGCUCAAGGGACUGUGCUCACCCCUUCUGCCAUGUGAGGCCACAUGCAAGGCACUAUCUAUGAGGAACGGGCCCGACAUGGAAUCUCCUGGCACCUUGAUCUGAGACUUCUCACGUCCAGAACUGUAAGCAAUAAAUGUCUGUUGUUUAUAAAUUACCCACUCUAAGGUAUUUUGUUAUAGAAGCCUGAAUGCUCUAAAACACUGAAAUAUAGCAUAAUUAUAUAUUUUUCACAAUUAGAACACACCUAAAAUGGAGAGAGAAUUAGAAUUGUCCCCAAGAGCCCUGCAAUUUGGAAACCCAAGCCAGCUGGUUUAUAAAAUAUCCAUGCCCUCCAUAACCACCUUGUAACCUUCCUAUUCCCUCACCGUAGUCAGUCAAUCAAGGGGAACACUCGCUCCCCACCCCUCCACCUUUUGCACCCUUCUCCACUCCUUGGAAGUCAUCUGUGACUUCUUUUCUGAUCCCAUGCUGACAGUGGUGUUCCUUUUCAUCUGAUUUCAUCUGCACACAAAUGCUGGGACAGACAACCCAGCACUUUCUCCCAGAACUUUGAACAAGAAAUAUUUACAUGCAGGGCGAUUAGUCUCUGGCUCACGAGACAGUCAAUCCAGACAACACCACUCUGGAUGGAAGGUACAGAAAUGAGAUGUUUUUCUGUCUCUGCUGUGGCCAAGGAGUCUUUCAUUUAAAUGUCAGGCUUCUACUCACCAGUUGACAGGCAUGCUUGAUCCUCUCCACAAACCCAUCAAGUCCCAAGUAUUGUAAAGAUAACCACAGAGGCAGGGCACGGAGUUUGUCUGUGGGCUUAUUUGAUGUAAGACCAGCAACUAAAGUCUAAAAAAGCCAAAAGAGGUUUAUUAAUCAAAGCCAUUGCAAUCUCAUAAUAGAACUAACCAGCUACCAUUUGCUACCCACUUAGUGUGGGCUAGAUGCCAUACUAGUCACUAGGCUUGCAUUAUCCAUGUGAUCUUCCAACAACUCUGUGAGCUAAGUAUUCUAGGUAACUUCACUCAGAGACCUCGGUUUGUCCAAGGGUUCACAGCUCAGGAGUGGCAAAGCCAGGAAAAGCCAGUGGAAAACCCAGAUGGGUCACAUCCCAGAACCUAGGAGACUCCCCACUUCGAAGGUAGCUCUGAGCAUCCUCAAACACCUGGCCAUUAUUAGCUGAGCAAGACAGCAGUGUUUUAGCAGAAAUCACUUAAACCUUAUUUUGCACGCUGACCUAUAUUAUCAAGAACCACAUUAUUAUUAUUAUUUUUUGUGACAGGUUUCGUUUUCAUUCUGUCGCCCAGGCUGCAGUGCAGUGGUGUGAUCAUAGCUCACUGCAGCCUUGAUCUCCAGGGCUCAAUCAGCCCUCCCACAUUAGCCUCAUGAGUAGCUGGGACUACAGGCUCACACCACCAUGCCCAGCUAAUUCUUUGUUGUUGUUUUUUCUUAUAGAGAUGAGGUUUCACCAUGUUGCCCAGGCUGGUCUCAAACUCCUAGGCUCAAGCGAUCUGCCUGCCUCAACCUUCCAAAGUGCUGGGAUUACAGGCAUGAGCCACCAUGCCUGGCCCACAACUACGAUU